GUUAGGAAUAUUGGACAAUGGGCGCAAGCCUGAUCCAGUCAUGCCGCGUGAGUGAUGAAGGCCUUCGGGUUGUAAAGCUCUUUAGUCCACGAAUAUAAUGACUGUAGUGGAAGAAUAAGCCCCGGCUAACUUCGUGCCAGCAGCCGCGGUAAUACGAAGGGGGCGAGCGUUAUUCGGAAUCACUGGGCGUAAAGCGUGCGUAGGCUGUUUUGUAAGUCAGAAGUGAAAGCCCAGGGCUUAACCCUGGAAUUGCUUUUGAAACUACAAGACUCGAAUUCGGGAGAGGAUAGCGGAAUUGUCAGUGUAGCAGUGAAAUGCGUAGAUAUUGACAGGAACACCAGUGGCGCAAGCGGCUAUCUGGACCGAUAUUGACGCUGAGGCACGAAAGCGUGGGGAGCAAACAGGAUUAGAUACCCCUGUAGUCC
rnacentral:rRNA from 1 species